AUUGAACGCUGGCGGCAUGCCUUACACAUGCAAGUCGAACGGCAGCACGGGUCCUUGCACCUGGUGGCGAGUGGCGAACGGGUGAGUAAUACAUCGGAACGUACCUUAUCGUGGGGGAUAACGCAGCGAAAGCUGUGCUAAUACCGCAUACGCCCUGAGGGGGAAAGCGGGGGAUCGCAAGACCUCGCGCGAUUAGAGCGGCCGAUGCCUGAUUAGCUUGUUGGUGGGGUAAAAGCCCACCGAGGCGACGAUCAGUAGCUGGUCUGAGAGGAAGCUGAGCCACACUGGGACAGAGACACGGCCCAGACUCCUACGGGAGGCAGGAGUGGGGAAUUUUGGACAAGGGGGGCAACCCUGAUCCAGCAAUGCCGCGUGAGUGAAGAAGGCCUUCGGGUUGUAAAGCUCUUUUGUCAGGGAAGAAACACCGGCUCUAACACAGUCCGGGAAUGACGGUACCUGAAGAAUAAGCACCGGCUAACUACGUGCCAGCCGCCGCAGUAA
rnacentral:rRNA from 1 species